rnacentral:rRNA from 1 species
UACGGAAGGCAGCGUGGGAAUAUGCACAUGGCGAAGCCUAGAUGCAGGCUAGUGCCGCGUGUAUGAAGAAGGCCUUAGGGUUGUAAAGUACUUUCAUCGGGGAGGAAAAAACAAAACUAAUAAUUUUAUUUCUUGACGUUACCCGAAAAAGAAGCACCGGCUAACUCCGUGCCAGCAGCCGCGGUAAUACGGAGGGUGCUAGCGUUAAUCAGAAUUACUGGGCGUAAAGAGCACGUAGGUGGUUUUUUUAAAGUCAGAUGUGAAAUCCCUGGGCUUAACCUAGGAACUGCAUUUUGAAACUGAAAUACUAGAGUAUCGUAGAGGGAGGUAGAAUUCUAGGUGUAGCGGUGAAAUGCGUAGAUAUCUGGAGGAAUACCUGUGGCGAAAGCGGCCUCCUAAACGAAUACUGACACUGAGGUGCGAAAGCGUGGGGAGCAAACAGGGAUUAGAUACC